ensembl:processed_transcript
CAGUUGGUUCAUUUUCAGUGGGAGUGAGGCUGUGAACAGAGGCGGCACAGAGAGCGGCACCACUCGCCAAGAUCCAACACAAAAGCCCUGCUGCUUUGUCCUGCUUGACUGCUAGCACAAGAUAAAAAAGAUUUUAUACUUUUUUUUUUUUUUUUUUUUUUUGUGACUGCUGUGUUUCACUGACCAAUCAGACAUGCUUUUAUUCACAACCAAUCUAACAGCAUUUAGCUUAUAUGCGAUCAAAAAACAACAACAAGAAGGAAGCAUGUGGUUGCAUGCUGCUGCUUCAUGCUCUGAAAAUUGCUUUGCUCCCGAAUGUCUGCCCACCACUCACAUUUAUUUAGGUUGACCUCUAUUUGUGGUUAACCUAUUAUUUCUCAAUUUAAUACCCACACAUUUUGUGGAGCAAUGCAUACUUUCCUCCAAAUCUUGUUCUGUUAUUUUUUCAUUAGCUUUCACAAUCAUGCAACAUGAGAUACAAUUGAGAAUAAAAUUUUAUCCAUUGUAUAA